UAGUGGCAGAAACAGCAAGCAAGGGAACAUGGGCCAAAGGACUUGAUUUCAUUUCGGGGUUGCAUGCGAGCUUCUUUAUUCUACUAACAAUUGUGACACGAGGUUAGGUGAAUGGCGAUUGUCUGAAUCAUUAGGAGGUUACCUGAAUGGCGAUUAUCUGAAUCAUUAGGGGGCCGCCCGCCAGCAACCGACCGAUUACCAAAGGUCGCCAGCAACCGAUUACAAACGAGGCUUUUCUGUUCUUCAUUUCAUAUCUCACGGACAUAUAACUGUUAUUUUCUUUGGUAACGAGGGCUUUCUUAUAAUGAUAAACUGGAUGAAGUAAAUUUCGAGGAAGAUGCAACGAAGCUAAUCCCACGACCGACGGCACCAGUCUAAUCGAGAAAACACUAACGGAAACGUAGAUCCCGUAGUUCUGUAAUAGCACUACUAUAAAUGGCGAAUGCUUGGGCUAGAUUAGAAUCUGAGGUUGAAGUCGGACUAGAACUACAGAAGUACAAAUGGCAAGUGUUCUGAAGACAAUGCUUGGAGCAAAUGUAGCCCUGGCACUUGGGAUUGGAGCCAUCUAUUUCCUAUUUCCAGUAUCACCUGGAAUUCCUAAAUCGGCUCAUUUUUUUUAUGAUUUGCAUUCUGUCGUUGGCCUUAUCAUGUAACAUCCUCGGGCUUCUCCUACUAGACAAAGGCAAGUUAUUGUUAGCCAAUGCCGUGGGGAAACUGGGGGCCAUCUUAACCAUGGCCGAUGUAUUUACUUUGUUGGGUUGCAUUUUGCCGUUACGACUUGUUUGGCUUCCGGCUCUCUGUUUCCUCUCCUGUCUAGGCCUACUACUACUGCCCAACUCCUUAACCGGAUCUCCUCGUGUCACGGGCACAAAUCAAACACGCGGAUGGGGGCCAAGGCGUGUGAUUACCGUUUUUGAGAGCAUUCACAGAAUGGGACCAAAUCAUGCACUUACCACCACCGUAUAUGGGCGCAUUUAUAGAGUAGAGGAAAAUGAUCUUCCCGUGUAAAAACACUCUGGAAUAUACGAUAUCCAUCAGAUAAAUCUCUCUCUCGUAGUUUUUCGUUUCUUUUCCCUUUUUUUCUUGUAUAAUCAAGUUAGUGAAAUCUUUGGGUUUUAUGUUUUAACUGCUCCCCAGUCGCCCGAUGCAUUGUUUUCCCCGUUAGUUUGGAGGGGAAUCAUCUUACUUGGCUUUGUAAUGUUUAUGUUCUCUAAUCUGUACUCUGUGUAUGUUCAUCAAAUUGCUUUUAUUGCCAGAAUAUCGUGUCUCUCUCAUGUUUGUUUUCGUUUUGGUUGCUUAAUUUUGAAAAGGAAUCAUGAUGGUUUCAUGGAUUUGGUUCCUCAGGAAGUAGUUUAUGAUGUUGGCUGCUCUCUGGGCUUGGUAAGACUGUCGAUGCGUCUGUAAGAUUAUUGACAUAUAUGCCACCAAAUCAUGCUAUCAGCUGAGGCAUCUGACAAGGAUGCAUUAGGUUCCUUUGUUUUGGACGAUUACAGAAGGCCUUAACCCAGCCUCCAUGAUACUUAGAGCGUAAGUAACUUCAAUUGCGGUAUAACCUCAGUAGAGAUGCAGAAGAUCACAGAAGGGUUCCUUAAUUUCCUAGUUACAAAGAUAUUGUUGUGAAUUUGAACUCUGUUUGGAUGAUAAGAUGAUCUCGAUUAUAAUUAUGUCCCUGAUUGUUCCUUUUCAAUCUUCACCAUACCAGAGCAUCUUGUUGCCAUUAAUAUUUCAGGUUUGGUUGGAGUAAUUCUCCAAGGUUCUAAUUCCUCCCUCCACACACACACAUACACACAUAUGAUGCACUUUGUUGGUGAUUUCUACUUUUCUUUGACUUGUAUAAGAUGACUGUAUAGACAGAAACACUCUGUUGCAGCAGUCUUGGGCAAUCAAAGAGGUAUCUGUCCAUGAGACCAGAGCGUAGUAGAGGUGAGCAUGCUCAGAUGGAUGCAUGACAAGACCAGAAAAGAUAGAAUUAGAAACAUGUGCAUGUUUCAAAAUUUAGCAGUAUAUCCAAAAGAUGAAAAUUUGAGGGAAAAUAAACAAAGAAGGUUAGGGAAUCUGCAUGGUAGACCCACUAUUCAAGGGAUGAUUUGAUACAAGUUGAGUGUUCUAGAAAGCCCAAGGGAAGGCUGAAAAGUAAAUCCCUGCAUGGAUUUGGCUAUUGAAAAAACAUCUGAGAAUUCACAGUAUAACCGAGGAUAUGCCCUUGAUAGAAUGAAAUUUAGCUCACCUCAGAUUGUUGAUGCUUGUUUCUGCUUAUUUGUCCUUAAUUCUUAAUUGGGUUGUUAUAAUUAAUAUGAGGCUUAUAAUUUAGGUAAUAAAGACCCCAGGUUUCUAUUCAUUUCCUUCUACCUUGGAUGGAUUAUCAGCAAACUUGGAGGAAUUGUGCUUUUUUGUAGUUAUGAACAGGUAAAAUUUCUAACUCUUUCACAUUUGGAAUUGUGAUCUUGGACACAAAUCUGCAGUGCUUAAAAAUUAUUGGAGGAAGAACAUAUCAACCUACUGCAUUGAUCAUUCUGAACUCUUUGCGGUGUUGCAGGUUUUUUUGGAACUUCAAAGGAACAUCUGUAUUUGCUCGAACAAUCUUCUAGUAAUCCAGGCUCUUCAGAAGGACUCCCUGUUACCUUGGUUUUGCCGAUGGCUUUUGCAAAGAACCAAAAUUUUAAUUUCCAGUCUUCACUUUAAUGUUAUGUUUAAACAUAUAAACUGUACUUUUAAUAUCCCUGCUCGCAAGGUAUCCCAACAGGCAAAAAACCAUCCUCUGUCUUACUUUGAAUAUAAUGCCUAUCCUGAAGGGAUCCCAAAAGUGGAGCAGUUUGUAAAUAUCUCUUUAGCUUAACAUAUUUUCUGUUUAUCUUCCAAAAAUAGAUAAAUAAAUAAACCUGUAUCAUAGGUCAACAUGGGACUUAGAGGUUUCAUUGCUACUUGCAAUCUUCCUCCUAACCUCAUAGCAGAUCUCCUUGACGUGGUUAGCAAAACUUUCUGCAUCAGCACAUGGUGUUGCCUAUGAUGGUAAAGGAACUAGGUCUAUAAGCUUCUUAGGCUGAAUUCCCAUCACUAUUUCAAAGGGGUUGCGACCUAUACUUCUAUAUCACUCACCAAACAAUGUAGUAAAUUUCCCAAGAUUCUAUUCACAACUUUAGUUUUCCCUUUUGUUUGAGUUUGAGGAUAAAAAGUUGAAGAGAAAUUCAACUUACUAUUCAACAUACGCCAAAAAGUUCUUCAAAAGUAACUCAUAAAUUUGACAUCUCUUUCUGAAACGUUAGUAUUAGGUAGGCCAUGCAAGCACACAAUUUGAAGAAUAGUUAUGCAUACAAAAUUAGAUGUCUUGCUACAAGGAAUGAAAUGAACCAUUUUCUAGAAGUGAUCAACCACAACAUAGAUGGAACCAUGCCCCUGUAGAGUCUUAAGGAGGCCUAGCACAAACUCCAUGCCAAGGAGAAGAAUGUGGAACAGGGAGUGGAGUGUAUAAACUAGUAUUUUGUUUCCUUUGCUAGAUGACAUACAUGAUGUUGGAAUGUUUACCUACUUUUUAUGUUUUUAUUCUACUUAGUUAGGUCUGUUUGUUCUGGUUAAAAUAGCUUUUUUUAUCAUUAUUUAUGUACUUUGACUACAGUAGGGGCAUAAGGGUCUUUUCCCUAUUAAUUAUGGUCACCCUAUAUAUAAUAAUAUAAGCUGGCACCGCCAGACAGAUUUGAACUCUCCAAACCUUUCUCUUCUCUCUCUCUCUCUCUCUCUCUUCUCUUCUCCUUAUUUCUCCUCUUUUCUUCUGCUAAUAUGGUAUCAGAGCGGUUCUACUGGGUUUGAGAGCAGAUUGAACAAGUUCUUUCUUUAUCAUCUUGCUGUCUUCUUCAACUGAGAUCAGAGAAGUUGACCUACAAUUGGUACAAGUUUGUUUUACCUUUUUUUUUCUUUUUCUCUUGGUCAUGUACCAAGAAAAACCCUAUGAAACAAAACUAUUAAAUGAUGUCAGAGGAAUUGUGAGGUUCAAGCCUCUUUUCUGUGGAUCGUGUGAUCAUGUACCUGAGAAUAGGAUACUUGUGACUGUUAAACCGGUGCAGUGCUGAAAUCAACCUAAAAAAUUAUUUUUUUAGAGAAUUGGAGCUGGUCUGUGUUCAGAUUGUGCCCAAACUGGAGUGUGUGCAUGUGGACUGCAUCUCUAGUGUGUUUUUAGGACUUUUUUGGGUGUUGGGAGAGAUCUUAAUGUGUGUGUUGAAACUGAAAAGUGUUUGAAUCAUGUCCUCUGAGAAUUCUGCAACUUCUGAGAUUUCGGGAGAUCAAAAUGGAAUGAGUGGGGGGAUAGAUAUGAGUUUUCCCAUGAUUGUAAUUCUCUUUGAUGGACUAAACUACCUUGAAUGAUCUAGGGGACACAACAACAAAAUCCGUAUAUAGCGGCGGAAUUCUUAGCGGCACUAAGAAAAACGCCACUAUGUAUUCAUCUUUUAGCAGCGAAUAGAGAAAGCCGCUGCUAUAGAUACUAUAACUUAUAGUGGCGGAUGCAUAUUUGCCGCCAGAUAUACACCGAAAAAUAAAAAAGAGCUAGUCCGGUCCGCUGAAUCUUCUCUCCCGUGCGAAUGAAUCCCAUAACUUCAAAAAACCCUUUCACUUCUCUGAGCAUAAUAUUUGCAUUUCUCUAUUUUCUUCGGAAGCUGAGAAGCAUCAAACGAAUUAAGAGCUAAGUCACGAUUUCUUUUACCCCCUUUCAUCUUCUUCCUCUCAUUACCUCUCUCUCUCUUUCUCUCUCUCUCACUUUUUUCUUUCAUUCAUCCAUUUUUCUACAACAGACCAUCAAACCUUCUCUUUGCCGAUUCUGGGUUUCCAACCAUCUCUCCCUUAUCUCUUGUCACUCCUUUGGCAACUGGGAACCGAACUGAACUCAUCUCCGGCGAGGUAAGUUUUUAUACAUCUGUAUUUUUUUUGUUUGUUCCUAUUGGUGGCGUGAAAAUGGAGUAACACCGGCCCAUUGGGUUCCGAUUUGAAGAACCUGUUGGAGACGAACUCCAAUGGAUAAAACCUAACCCUUCUCUAUUUUGGUUUAUAAAAGUUAUUUUUAACUUCAGUACUUUUUAGCAGAUUGUUUUCCUUAUUUUUAAUGCCAAAUUUUCAGUAACGUGAAUGCACAAUGUCACCAAUUUCAGUAAACUCAAGUCUCUCUCUCCCUCUCUCUCUCUCUCUCUCUCUCUCUCUCUUACUAAUGUGGCCCUGAACUCCCAUUAGAAUAACAAAUAGGGCUAGAAGAUGGAGACUCAAAAUAGGCUUCACUGCUGAAUCUAACCUUCCAGCAUCUCUUAAAAUAAUGAGAAAAAAUAUAUAGCGGAGUGUCAUUCUGAUGUUUUGCCAAGACCUAAAAUAUCUUAAGAUUUUUUUUUCAAUUCUUUUAGGUUUACUUGAUAAUCAGUUUCUUGGCAUUUUUUUAAUGGGUGUCUUAGAGUGAUGUCCUAUUUUUUAGAAACCAUUUAUGGGAAUCGAUUUUUUAUGGUUUGCAUUAGUGGUUUCUAAGUGGGUUUGAGGAAUUUAAUUCAUAAGAUGUUCCUUGUGUUGUUGUGUCUAAAUUAUUGCUGGACUGAUCUUUUAAGCAAAUUAGGAGAAUCUUUAAUUUCCAUGAUACUCUUGAUGCCCUUUUUAAACAUGGACUUGAAUUAUUUGAACAUGAGUGGUGCCAAAUAAGUUUCAUAAUAGAGUAAAGGGAACCCUCAAUUCUUGAAUCCAUCUUUUUAUCUCAAAUGAAACAGACAUUUAUUUUUAAUGAGUUAUGGUUUGUAAGCAUCAUUAUAGACUAUGGAAGUGUUCCUAUAUUUCUUGAAUUAUGGUUUGUAAGCAUCGUUUGAUCUGUAACAUGUUUCUAAACACUAUUGAAGUGUUGCUAUAUUUUUUUUGUCAUAUUUGAAAAUUUGGAAACUUUUACUCCCCUCUGUUUUGCUUCCUAUCUUUAUCAUCCCUUUUGAGUUGUUCUUGGUUCAAUCACGAUUGAUUUGAGUAGAUAUAAAUUCCAGAACAUUAUCACAUCAAUGUUGCUGAUUGGUGAUGAUGUUGAAAGCAUGAUUUCAAUGGGACAGAUUCAAUACAUUCUCACCUUAUCUUAUUCCCAAUCCUAAGGCACCCACUACCAAUCUCAUGACCCAACUUAAUGAAAUAUAAUUACUGAAUGUGCUGUAAACCAUAGGGUACCAACUUAUACUACCUCCUCUACACCCCAUAAACAAAACACCUUCUCUUAGUAAAGGCUAUAUUUGCAGAUUCUUCAAUGUUACUAUGUCAAACACUGUCCUUGUAAAAACCAUCAAGAGAUAACUAGCUACAUAAAAUAAAGGGUCAAUGGCAUAACCAGCUACAUGACCCCUAUGUGUAGGGACACAACAAUCUGACAGGUUUGGACAAGAAAAACCUAGUCCCAGUUCAAAUACAAUGCAGUCUAAACCCAUCCCUACACCUGGAUAAGGCUGCUCGAAUCCUAAUCUGAUAGGUUAGAUUACCGUUUAACCUGACCUAUUGAUAGUGACAUCCCUAGAGUACAUAACUUUCAAGUUUGAAACCUUUUGAUCAAUGAGCAGACACAAAGUCUCAAAUUUUCUCAAGGGAAGACUAAUGAGGUGGUCCUCCUAGGGAACAACCUAGGUUGAACUAACUGAUAAACCAUAUCUAAUGAUAAUAGGAUGUCUAGAUUACUGGAUGUGUAUGAGCCCAGUUGGGAACAAAGUAGCUAGGUCUGGUCCAGGACCCUUCAUCAUGAGUCCAACCCAGUCUUAAAGUAGAUACCCUUCCUUCUAAUCUAAAUGUUGACCCCUAAUGUGUUUUGUGUACUGGUGAAUUGUCAUUGGGCCAACAUAGACCAUUGAUGAUGGAGAUAGGUUAUGUAUAUGUUUGGCAUUGAUGCUGCCAAUACAACACCAUUUUCUUAGAAAAUGGUGCUGCUGAUCUUUGGGUUGGAAGCAUCGUUUUCUGAGAAAAUGGUAUCUUUUUUUUUUUGUUUGGAAACAUUGCUGCCAUGUGGAUGCUCAGAUUUCAGAUUUCAGAUUUGAGCAUGUUUUGUAGUAUGCUCAAAUGGUUUGACAGAUUUCAGAUUUGAGCAUGUUUUCUUCUAUACUAACUUCUCUUUAUUGUUCGAACAGGGCAUCUAGGUUUUCAUAGUUUGAAUAAGAAAUCCAAGUUUUUGACAUUCAACCAAUGAGCCAACAGGGCAUCACAGUUCGAACAGGGGUUGUCAUCACAGUUUGAGCAGGGAAUCUAGGUUUCAUCAUCUGAACAGGGUGGAACCAAUACAAGAAUGAUAGAAGGCUUUGUAUACAUUUUUUUUUUUAUUUAUUAUUAUAUGUAACAAGAAUUUUGUACAUUUUCCACAUCAUUAUCGUAUGGAACUCACAUUAAUUAAGAUA